GGUAAUAUAUGUGCUAAGUUAUUUAAAUAUAUUAAAGACACUUAAAUUUGAUAAAUAUUCACACAAAAUUAUUUAUUGUGAAUAAUAUAUAAAAAUGAAGAUUAUAUAUAUUAAUUGUUACCGUCCCCGCCCCUUUUACAUGUCCAUUAUGACUUUGCCCUAUCAAUUUGAUUAUACUUUGACUGAAAUUUAUAUAUAUCACAAUUAAAAAAAUAAUAAAAAAUAAAUUAUUAGAAAGUAUAUUUAGUCUAUUUUAACAUGUAAUUUUGAGAUUUUAAAAAUAGAGUAAAUGACAAAGUGGUGGCUGUAGUUUUUCAAAUUUUACAAAAUAUUGGCUCGAGUUUAAAAACUACAGAUUGGUGGCUGGAUUUUACUUCCACCUUUUAAUAAGGUGGCUGCCGUCAAAGUCCGUUAAAUCUAAGCCGUUAAGUUCAAAAAAAAUUAAAAAAAUAAGGUAAAAACGGGUUUUUACACAUACCCUCACUCUCUCUCCCUCUUUUCUCUCCAACUCACCCUAAUUCACUUCAUCCAUCACCCAAGCUAUAUACACUCAAUGACUCAAUCAAUCAUAAGUAUAUUUCUUAUUUCUGAUAUCAGAUUCAAAUGGGUUACAACUUACAAACCGAUGGAGAAGAUGGGUGGAUUGGUUUUUGAUUAGACAGAUGGGUCAUGGACUUUGGAGGAUGACUUUACUACUCUACCCAAUCGGGAAUAUUGAGAGAAUAUAUAUCUCCUUCUGCUAAUAAUCUGCGACCCCGAGAAUAGGGGUAAUCAACACCACAAGCAUGUGCAAACACAUUCUCUGGACUAAAACAACCUAUUUUCUUAAAAAUCACGCACAUAUAGAAGAAAAAUAGUUAAGGUCUCUUCACUUUUGUCGCACAGACAGAGUCAAAUAAAUCUUCCUUCUUGAAUCCAGGGUGCAAGAAAUGAAGAGUUUUAUUAUAUAUUCGGCAACUGAGAAACCAAAAGAGGUUAUAGAUUCUUUACACGUUGUCCAACCAAGCAAUCCUGCUCAAGCUGAAGUGGAGAUGGUGAAAUGUAUUUUUGUGCUUUUUUUUUUAUUAAUUUUUUUAGACUUAAUAGAUGAAUUUAACGGAUCUUGACGGCAGCUAGGGGUGAGCAUAACCGGAUAUCCGGUCCGGUUAUAAAUUAUAAACCGGAUAUCCGGUUUUUCGGAUCACUAAAAUUCUAUUCCGGUUCCGGUUUCACCGGAUAUCCGGUUUUUCGGAUAUUCUUUAAAAUCGGAUCAGAAAACGGAUUAUCCGGAUCCGAUUCAUACUCAUUGCUUAUUAUUUUUCUUGCAAAUAAUAAUACAAAAUCCUUUUUUA
rnacentral:lncRNA from 1 species